rnacentral:lncRNA from 1 species
UUGGAAUCAUAGAGAAUAAAAAUAUUGUAAUGAGUAACCAAAAUUAUUUUUUUUUAAUGCAAAGGAAUCCCAAACACUACAAGACAUCGUGGAGCAACCAGCAGAUACAUCAGCCAUCAGUAUAUUGAAGAAUCAUUACCCUAAAAUAACUGUAACCUUAAAAAAAAUGUUCCCAGCAUCAGGAGAGAGGAAAAGCCCUGAUCUGAAAGAUGGAAAAAUGCAGCUAAUACCACGAGAUCAGGAAGGGAUGUCUGGGAGUCCUGUUAAAACAAUAGGAAGUGAGCUCAGAAAAUCAAAAGAGAGAACAGAAAUGUCUCAGAGCUCCGCGAUAACCUUAAAAAAAAUAUUCCCAGCAUCAGGAGAGAGGAAAA